rnacentral:rRNA from 1 species
UACGUAGGGACCAAGCGUUGUUCGGAUUUACUGGGCGUAAAGGGCGCGUAGGCGGCGUGUUAAGUCAGCUGUGAAAUCUCCAAGCUUAACUUGGAACGGUCAGCUGAUACUGAUGUGCUAGAGUGCAGAAGGGGCAAUCGGAAUUCUUGGUGUAGCGGUGAAAUGGCGUAGAUAUCAAGAGGAACACCGUGAGGUGAAGACGGGUUGCUGGGCUGACACUGACGCUGAGGAGCGAAAGCGUGGGGAGCGAACAGG